UACAGAGGUCUCAAGCGUUGUUCGGAUUCAUUGGGCGUAAAGGGUGCGCAGGCGGCGCGGUAAGUCGGGUGUGAAAUCUUGGAGCUUAACUCCGAAACUGCAUUCGAUACUGCCGUGCUUGAGGACUGGAGAGGAGACUGGAAUUUAUGGUGUAGCGGUGAAAUGCGUAGAUAUCGUAAGGAAGACCAGUGGCGAAGGCGGGUCUCUGGACAGUUCCUGACACUGAGGCACGAAGGCCAGGGGAGCAAACGGG
rnacentral:rRNA from 1 species